UAUCAAAGAACACAUUUCUGUGUAGAAAAUUACUCCCGGAAAAUUACAACGCUUUUAUAGUUAAUUGCCUAUUUGUUAGAAUGUCAAUUGCUAGAGCACAUAUGUGAUAUCCACAGAUAUAGUUGUGAAUUCCGAAAACGGCUGGGCUGACUCCUGUUGAUAGCAUACAAUGCCGACUGUAAGUCAUGGUUUAUUUAGAUGGCUACUCUGGCGUGGUGCCACCCUGGAAAACUUUGCCGACAGACUGAACCACUUCUGGACCUUCGGACUCCUGCUUCUACUAGCCUGCAUAAUUAGCUGGAACCAUAACUAUAACAAACCUAUAAGCUGUUGGGCACCAGUCGAGUUCACCAAAGGUAUGCAGCAAUAUGCUGAUGAAAUUUGCUGGCACAAGCAAUUCGUAUAUCUUCCUCUAGAUGCUGAACUACCAUCUUACGCUCAAACCAGAUUGCCAAUGAAAAGAUCAUUGCAUAUGUGGCUACCGAUUAUCCUUUGCUUCCAGGCUUUUCUAUUCAAACUGCCAAAUCUUCUAAUGUAUAUUCUACAUCAGUAUUCUGGAAUAAGUUUUGACAAGAUCGCACGUUUGACCAGCGGAUUUGAGAAUAUGAACAUGCAGGAACGUAUUAUUUUGAGUAAGCAGACAUCACGUUAUAUCUACAACUGGUGUAAACAGUUUGCAAAUUGCUUACCAUGGCGACUUCUUACGAUCCUCUGGUUGAUCGUCAAAGUUCUAUACUGCAUCAACAUCAUUGUACAAAUAUGUCUCGUCAACACUUUCCUGGCGUCAAGGGAUCCACGGACUGGAUAUUCAAUAUCAUAUGGUAAAGCUAUUACAAGAAAUAUUUUUUCUAACGACUCAAGCUUAUGGGCGGAUUCACCAGCCUUUCCUCGUCUGAUUUUGUGCGAUUUUCAAAUAAGACAACUAAGAGCUGUUCAAAGAUAUACUGUUCAAUGUAACCUAAAUGGAAACAACUUCAACGAGUUUGUUUUUAUGUUCCUGUGGGUAUGGUUUGUGUUUGUUGCCGUAGCAACCUGUCUUAGUCUCGUGGUGUGGACACUAAGAACAAUUAUCCCAAUCUUUCGGAAGCGGUAUAUAAAGAAAGUGAUGGAACUUGCAGAUGACCCUAACUUCACAGUCAUUAGGCCACAUGACCUAGAUCAAUUCUGUAACUUCAUUGGUGAGGAUGGCACUAUGGCGUUGAAGUUAAUUGGAGCUAACUCAUCGGAACUAUUUGUCGGCGAUGUCGUCUACAAUAUGUGGAUGCUUAGAAGCCGAGGAGGCAAUCCGCAGCAGGCGUUACAACCUAGUGCCCCAAUUUGACAUGUAACAUUACGAAAACAUGUAAAAUAUUAAAUAAAGAUUUCUGAUAGAAUUCUGUAGGUUACAAUCUGCAAACUUUGUAAAUUACUCUACAUAAAAAUAGCCCGAAUAGUGCUGAUAUAACAAUUACUGAUGUAAGUGACAAUGCCGUAAUUAUCAAUAGACUGUUAGCCGAAUAUCCCAUAGAUCUACAAGUGUUUAUUGAAUUUAGAUUCAAUGAUGCCAUUCGUUAGUCGGCAAAAUAAAUUCAAGAUAUCCAUAGCUACGACACACUAGGACAUUUCUUUAGGAUUAUAUCGGGCAUUUUGCAUUAAAUCGGGUAGGAAAACUGUUGCAGGACCAAAUAUGAACUAUGAAUGCAGUUACACGCGAGAUAAAGAACAGCAUGAAUUUAUAGUUUUACAGAACUUCCACUAAGAUCUUCUUCACUUCAGUAGUUUCAGCCCUUUGUCCCUGUUUGUCUAUGAGAUUGAACAAAAAUAUUGAUACAACAAUAAAUGAUAUGUAAACAUUUUUAAAUGAAAGACAUCUAUUUAGCCAUCAAACUAUCGAAGGAAUUCAGUAAAAACAAGGACAUACGUCUAACAGGAAAAGCCACAUUCAAAGAACACUGUCCUCCAUACAGACUGUCGAAGCAGAAAACAGUUCGACGUUUAAGUGAUAUACAUGUUAGCAAAGGAAUGAUAAUGCGUUAAC
rnacentral:misc_RNA from 1 species